rnacentral:tRNA from 1 species
GGACUUGUGGCUCAGUGGCAGAGCGCUUGCCUCAAAAGUAUGAGGCCCUGGGUUUGAACCUCAGUACCA